GCGGGUAUAGCUCAGUGGUAGAGUGCGUGCUUAGUAUGCAUGAGGUCCUAGGUUCAAUCCCUGGUACCUCCA
rnacentral:tRNA from 1 species